rnacentral:lncRNA from 1 species
CGCUGGCGCUGGGGGUGCUGGUGCUGCUCCUGUCCCUGCAGAUCCCAAAUCCCCAAAUUCCCAACAUCUCAACCAUCCCAAUAUCCCAAAUCCCCAAUUCCCAAUAUCCCAAACAUCCCAAUUUUCCCAAAUUCCCAUUUUUCCCGUUUCCAGCUGCUGACGCUGGCGCUGGGGGUGCUGGUGCUGCUNUAUUUCCCAGAUUUUUUGCGGAUUUUUUCUGGAUUUUUCCUGGAUUUUGUUCCCAGAUUUUUCCUGGAUUUUGUUCCCAGAUUUUUCCUAGAUUUUGUUCUCGGAUUUUUGCCAGAUCUUUCAUGGAUUUGGUUCCUAGAUAUUUCCUGGGGUUUUCACGGAUUUUUCCAGGAUUAUUCCCAGAUUUUGCCUGGAUUUUGUUCCCAGAUUUUUCCUGGAUUUUUCCAGGAUUAUUCCCAGAUUUUUCCUGGAUUUUGUUCCCAGAUUUUUCCUGGGUUUUUCCUGGAUUUUUCUUCCCGGAUAUUUCCGAGAUUUUUUGCAGAUUUUUUCCUGGAUUUUUCCAGGAUUAUUCCCAGAUUUUUCCUGGGUUUUUCCCAGGUUUUUCCUGGAUUUUUCCCGGAUUUUUCCCAAAUUUCUCCUAGAUUUUGCUCCCAGAUUUUUCCUGGAUUUUUCCUGGCUUUUGUUCCCGGAUAUUUCCCAGAUUUUUCGUGGAUUUUUCCUGGAUUUUGUUCCCGGAUAUUUCCCAGAUUUUUUGUGGAUUUUUUCCGGAUUUUUUCAGGAUUAUUCCCGGAUUUUUCCUGGAUUUUGUUCCCAGAUUUUUCCCGGAUUUUUCCCGGAUUUUUCCCAAAUUUCUCCUGGAUUUUGUUCCCAGAUUUUUCGUGGAUUUUUCCUGGCUUUUCCUCCCGGAUAUUUCCCAGAUUUUUCACGGAUUUUUUCUGGAUUUUUCCAGGAUUAUUCCCAGAUUUUUCCUGGAUUUUGUUCCCAGAUUUUUCCUGGGUUUUUCCUGGAUUUUUGUUCCCGGAUAUUUCCCAGAUUUUUCACGGAUUUUUUCUGGAUUUUUCCAGGAUUUUUCCUGGAUUUUGUUCCCAGAUUUUUCGUGGAUUUUUCCUGGCUUUUGUUCCCGGAUAUUUCCCAGAUUUUUCGCUGAUUUUUUCUUGA